GACGGACGCUGGCGGCGUGCUUAACACAUGCAAGUCGAACGGAAAGGCCCUGCUUUUGUGGGGUGCUCGAGUGGCGAACGGGUGAGUAACACGUGAGUAACCUGCCCUUGACUUUGGGAUAACUUCAGGAAACUGGGGCUAAUACCGGAUAGGAGCUCCUGCUGCAUGGUGGGGGUUGGAAAGUUUCGGCGGUUGGGGAUGGACUCGCGGCUUAUCAGCUUGUUGGUGGGGUAGUGGCUUACCAAGGCUUUGACGGGUAGCCGGCCUGAGAGGGUGACCGGCCACAUUGGGACUGAGAUACGGCCCAGACUCCUACGGGAGGCAGCAGUGGGGAAUAUUGCACAAUGGGCGGAAGCCUGAUGCAGCAACGCCGCGUGCGGGAUGACGGCCUUCGGGUUGUAAACCGCUUUCGCCAGUGACGAAGCGUGAGUGACGGUAAUGGGUAAAGAAGCACCGGCUAACUACGUG
rnacentral:rRNA from 1 species